UACGUAGGGUGCAAGCGUUGUCCGGAAUUAUUGGGCGUAAAGAGCUCGUAGGCGGUUUGUCGCGUCUGCUGUGAAAACUCGGGGCUUAACCCCGGGCCUGCAGUGGGUACGGGCAGACUAGAGUGCGGUAGGGGAGACUGGAAUUCCUGGUGUAGCGGUGAAAUGCGCAGAUAUCAGGAGGAACACCGGUGGCGAAGGCGGGUCUCUGGGCCGUAACUGACGCUGAGGCACGAAAGCAUGGGGAUCAAACAGG
rnacentral:rRNA from 1 species